GUCUACGGCCAUACCACCUUGAAUGUGCGCGAUCUCGUCUGUUCUUGGAACCUAAGCAGGGUCUGGCCUGGUUAGGACUUCCAAGGCACACUGGCUGGGAAUACUGGGUGCUGUAGGUU
ensembl:rRNA 5S_rRNA 5S ribosomal RNA